GCCAUGGUGGCGGAAUUGGUAUACGCGCUAGCCUUAGGAGCUAGUGGGAGUAAUCCCUUGAGAGUUCGAGUCUCUCCCAUGGCA
rnacentral:tRNA from 1 species